CGUUAACCUAGCUUUGCUGGUAUCAGCACACCGUGGUGGAAAUGACUGGAAAGGAAUGAGGAGCGGAACUGGAACGAGGAACGUGACGCUGCUUUCACUGGACUGGCAGAAGCGGCUGUAAAAUCUGCUGCCCUCAAAUUCCCAGGACAAGGGCGAUGGAUUUUACUAUGCCUUCAUCGAGAAGCGCUGGCUGGCAAAGUUACGUCAUGUCCUGGCAGAGACUCUUAGGCAAGACGGAGGAGUUCAGCUACGCAGCCUGCCAGAAGAACAUUGCCCGGGAGGGGUCGCUAGCCUUGAGCUAUAGGCACCGAUGCACAUGGCUCGUUCUGUCAGGCGUUCAGAGCAUCGGGGAACGACUGUAUGCUGCCGUGAAGAACUACAGGCACCCGCCCUCAGCCCUUUGCAAGUUAUCAGCUAUCAAGAGUGGCCAGGAGACGCCGGCGGAAAGGUGGGUAAGCUGUGACCCCAGCUGCCUUUGCCUUGCUUUGCUGCUUAGUGUCGUAACAGCGACUUGGGACCCCGGAAUAAAAACUGUUACAGUGCUGAAGGGAGGACCUGCAUUUGCCCAGGCUGACGUUCUGAGGGCCAGCAACUGGAAGAGGAGCAGCUCAGCCCGUUUGGUUGAUUUCGGUGAUACUGUUUUAAGGAAGCAUGUGGCUGAAGCAUAGUCCGGCAGUCAAAUGAGCAUUGUCACAGCUGGGAGCUCUGUGGAGAUCUGCGGCCAUCCAUGGAGGACGAGCUCCGACUCGGAGCGUGGACACAGCUACGUCCUGGGGCUGCACUGUAUGUGAGCAGGGCUGGGAGGUGGAAGGUGGUUUUGCCCUCGGUGGUUACUGGUGUCAUUGGCUGUGGCUGUUUGCCCAUGGAGCUGAGAGGACCAAAAAUAUUAAUUGUCUGUAACAGAGAUGAAUUAGUGCUUGUGGUGUUCCAGGUAGGUUCAGUGGAAGUGCAGCUUAGUGCAGUCCUGUGGCGUGAUUCUUGCACAUGCUCGCGUUUGAAUGGUGGCUAAAACCAAGCCUAUAAACAGCAACUGUAACAUGAUUCUGGUGC
rnacentral:lncRNA from 1 species